rnacentral:lncRNA from 1 species
GGAUCUAGAGGGGAGGAAAUGAAAACAUCUGCCUUCAUAAAGGUGCUGCUCUUUCCUUCCAGGAUUCCCCAGGGCAUCCUUGGAGUGCCCCCAGUUUGAAUUGGAGAUAAAAGGUAUGGUCUUGUUGAAAUUGCCCCCAAAUUGAGCUGCACCUUCCAAUUGAGGCAGAAAGAAUCGCCUUUUGAUACGUUCCACAAUUGGAAUGCAAAUUCUCUCCCAUCUCCUAGACACCUGGGCCUGCCCCCAUUUUUCUUGACUGUAAUCUGUUUAGCUUGUGCAUAAAAUGGCAAAAACAAAGAGUCUUUCUGUAAAAGAAAAAGAAGAGGAAAGAAAGUAGAUUCUGUGUCCUCUUCCUUAGUCCUUGCCAAAUCUUUGCUCCCAGGCCUCGGCAGGUGGCAGUGUACAUGAGUCAUGCAGUCUAUCUUUCUGUUUUGUUUGUUAUUAACCACUGAAAUGAUGGCACCAUUCCUGGAGUUAGGCCUUCAACCAAAGAGCUGGGCCAUCCGUGGCAAUGCCUCCCAGGCUUGGGAGCUGGGAAAAGGCCCCAGGAGCUAGGGCAUCCUGAUUGUUCUUUCAAAGAAAUCCCUCUUGUUCUUAGUCAACAUGCUGGAUACCAGCUAAAAAAUGCAAAAUGAUCUUCAGGCAGGGAUGGCACAGGACCCUUGCUGAGCUGUGAAGCCUGGCUGUGAGGAUUCCUGCAUGGAAACAUCAACAUGUUGCCAGAUUGGUAUACGACUCAACACCACACUGACAUGCUGCUCCCAAACAGUGCCUUUGAAUCAAGACCCAGUCAUCGUAUUCGAAGAAAAAGGAAAUAUCCCUGACCAUGUUGGGACUUAACACUGCUUCACAGAGUCCAUGGAGUUCCUGGUGACUAAUGCCAUCCACAAGAUCUGAAGGUGUUGUGUAACCUAGACCUGGCCCUUCUCUCAGUGCAUCCCCCUCUCCAGAGUGACCAACUCAGAGAGGUCAUGUGCUUAAGGGUGAGAACCACUACAGGACAAAAAUGAGCUCCUUUUUUCCAGUCUCAGCCCAGGAGGGAUCUUCACAGAGAAAGCAAGCCCAGCCCAUCCCCACAGCUGGCUCCCUGGUGCCCAUUCUGAAAGGCUGGACCCAUCCUGACCUGUCCCUGCCCCAAGGACUGCCUGGUGAGGGAUGGCUUACCAACACUGUGACUCAGUCCUUCCAACAUGCCCAACAGGUCAAUUCUGGGAUAUUCCUUACAGGAAUUAAUGAGAGCACAUUGCCGGUAAUGUUGGCAUUAGUAGAUUACAUUUAAAUUUAAAAAUUCCUUUUAUGGGGUUUAAGAAUAGAGACAAGACACCCAUGCAAUAAAGAAAGGAGGAGACUUUGCCUGGUCUAAUGGAGAAGCUGGAGCUGCAUUGUUGGGUACAGUGGCCAGUGGCUACACCUGGCUUUUGAGCCCUUGCACAGUGGCAAGGACACAUUGAGAUGUGCCCUAGGUGCAAGAUACACACAGGAUUUCAAAGACUGAGUAUGAAAAAAGAAGAAAAAAUGUCUCAUUAAUAUUUUUAUAUUGGUUGCAUGUGGAAGUGAUAACAUUUUGGAUAUAAAGUUGACCUUUGAACAGUAUGGGUUUGAACUGCACAGGUCUGCUUAUAAGUGAAAUUUCUUCUGCCUCUGCCACCCCUGAGACAGCAAGACCAACCCUCCACUUCCUCCUCCUCCUCCUCCUCCUCAACCUGCUCAACGUGAAGAUGAUGAAGAUCAAGACCUUCAUGAUGAUCUACUUCCACUUAAUGAAUAGUAAAUAUAUUUUCUCUUCCUUGUGAUUUUCUUAAUAACGUUUUCUUUCCUCUAGCUUAUUUUGUUGUAAGGAUACAGUGGUAUAUAAUAUUUAUAACAUACAAAAUAUGUGUUAACCAACUCUGCUAUCAGUAAGGCUUCUGAUCAACAGUAUGCUAACAUUUUUGGACAGUAGUUAAGUUUGGGCAGAGUCAAAAGUUAUAGGCAGAUUCUUGAUUGUGUGGGGUAUUGGCAUCCCUAAUCUCUGCACUGUUCAAGGGUAAACUG